ACCUUAGAGACCAACUAAGUUUGUUAUUGGUAUGAGCUUUCGUGAAGUGUGCAUGCACACGAAAGCUCAUACCAAUAACAAACAUAUUUGGUCUCUAAGGU
rnacentral:miRNA from 1 species